rnacentral:misc_RNA from 1 species
AGCCGCUAGUCUACCUCGUUCUUUGGUUUUGGUUUCUCUGCUCCCUUUCGUAAAAACAUGAUUAUUUUCUGCUUUUAAUUUUACUUACAAUGCUAAAUUUUGUAUGCUGGGAGAAGAGAUCACAGUGAUGACUCAGGAAAUUCAAGCUCAACAGACCGGAAUGCAGGCCUCUCUUUUUCUAGAGAGCUUUGCGUGUCGACCUUCCCGCUGACCUGAGUGAUCCUUUUCUCUUACGAAAUUGACAUUUCCUUUUUGGUUUCUGGCCUAAAAGGUCUAUCUAGUGGUUUUCGUCUCUUAAAUUUUAGCUGUUGAUUUGAUUUGAUUAUCUUCUUGUUCUGAAAUAGGAGAAGUUGGGGGUAAUUGAGGUUGCAAUGAGGAUUCACAGCUCCCUCUUCUGAGUUCAAGUUGAGGAAAUCAGCUGGCAGAAUCGAACCUAUGACUUAUUAGCCAUCACUGAGCAAUCUCCUUCCCUAUUCUCAAGUUUUUGGCUCUCUUUAUAACCCCAUUUUAAAUAAAAUAAUUUUAAAUAUUUAGAUUUGGUUUUAUUUCCGUAAUUAGUUUUGUGUGAUUUGCUGUGGGAAAUUGAACGUUGCUAUCAGGAUUAACAGCUCCCUCUUCUGUCUAUAUCAUUUGAAGAGAACAGAGUAUGUUUUGAAUUCAAUAUGAUUAUACGUGAUAGAUAAGGAUGAAGCAAUAAUACAAUAAUCCAACACUUGAUCUGAUACUUUCAUAGUCAAGUGAUGUUAACAUAUUGACUUCUGAAUCUGCUUAAUUUUUAGUUCCACUUUCCCACUUUUGUAAGCUGUGUUAUGGAUGGUGGAUUUCAAUGAUAGAAACAAUACUGAGUGUGCCUGCCUGGGUUUGAGGGGUUAAGUAGAUGAAAAUAUUUUUUUUUUAAAAAUUGCCUUUAAUUUAAAACUGGAAAGAAACUAAUGUUUAAACCUUUUUCCUCCUUGUCAAUCAUCAAAUGAUGAAACUUGGAAGAUCUUAGGACACCUUCCUACAUAGCUUUUACAGCUAUGGAUGAGAAUAACAUUUCCGUUCUGAUGAUGAUGGUGGUGAAAUCUUCAUUUUGUCUGCAUUUAUUUUUACCGCUGUUUUUCGAAGCAUAAAUCUUUUAAAAUUGAUGGAGCCAGUGGUUUAUUGAUUUUCCAAUUGUAUCUCUGGGGGGAAAUUAAUUUUGAUUGUUUGGUUUAUUUCAAGAUUUGAUUGGAUGGCGGCUUGAUCGCAAUGAUGACUUGAAAAAUUCAAGCUCAACAGACUGGAUUACAAGCUUUCGCUCUGAGAAGCUUGUAUGUCGACAAUGACAACAUUCUGAGUGAUCUCUUAAUCACAUUAUAGUGUUAAGAGCUAUCUAAUGCUUAUUCACACGCCAAGUAUCACUCUCACUUGGAAUGUUGAAAAUUUGUAUGGUUGCUUAAUAGGAUGAUAGAUUCUUUGCACCCAUUCCCACAAUUUUUUAUUUUUUUUGUCGCUCAGUGUGGUUCUUUAUUGUCCAUUGUAUUGGAAUUAGUGGUAUCCAAAUUACUCUCUUCGCUUUUCCUUACCAACUGCAUGUUGCAAUAAGCUGCAAAGCUAUAAACUUGCUGAAGUUUCUAAUGAGGUCUACAAUACAUAGAUUGUCUGCUGCUUGAACUAAUUUGUUUGUGAAUUUUGUACGUUAGGACUAGGAGAUAUGUUUUUUUUGGGGGAUAUUGUUAAAUGCUUGUUCAAUUUACUUGCUAUUAGCAUAUGAGGAUCUGUAGCCUUAGGUAGUCAACAUACCUAGGAGGAAAGCAAUCUCAGGUGUAUGUCAGAAGUCAAAAUUUAAACGACUUCUCCAUCAAGGCUGAUUUGUACUUUUGGAUGACCUUUCAACUGAGAGUUCGACUCUUGUUUACGUAAAGUAGAUCAUAUAGGAAACUUUUUGCUUCUGUCCGUGGUAUCCUCUGUUGUACUUGCGUUCUAAUUGCUGGUUGUAUCUCAAGUACAUGUGAAGAAGCUCAACUUGGUUUAGAGCACCGACUGCAUUUGUAUAAUCUUGUAUUUUACUGCAAGCGUCUCAUAGCCAGGUGAAUGAGAUGCAUCAUGUAGAAAUGUUGCAACUUGUGAGUUGGGUGAGCUUGUGAGUUGGGUGAGCUAUGUUAUAUCGGGGAAAAUUUCAUUGAUUACCAUAUGUGUUUGUAGGCUAUUUGUCAAAACAAUCGAUAGCAUUGAUAGUGUGAUGUCAUUUAAACUCAAUUCAGCUAAGCUUUUUUAUCCUAAAAAUUUAGAAUCGGUUAUAUAGAUUCGUUUACUUCACUCUAAACGAUUUUGGAUUAAA